rnacentral:rRNA from 1 species
GACGAACGCUGGCGGCGUGCCUAAUACAUGCAAGUAGAACGCAGUUGCGAACGGGUGAGUAACGCGUAGGUAACUGCCUGGUAGCGGGGGAUAACUAUUGGAAACGCUAGCUAAUACCGCAUACUACCAGAUGGACCUGCGUUGUAUUAGCUAGUUGGUGGGGUAACGGCUCACCAAGGCAACGAAAAUUAGCCGAACUGAGAUGGGUGUCGGCCACACUGGGGCUGAGACACGGACCAGACGCCUACGGGAGGCAGCAGUAGGGAAUCUGCGGCAAUGGGGGGAACCCUGACCGAGCAACGCCGCGUGAGUGAAGAAGGUUUUCGGAUCGUAAAGCUCUGUUGUUAAGGAAGCGGUACUUAACCAGAAAGGGACGGCUAACUACGUGCCAGCAGCCGCGGUAAUUC